CGCGGGGUAGAGCAGUCCGGUAGCUCGCCAGGCUCAUAACCUGGAGGUCGCAGGUUCGAAUCCUGCCCCCGCUA
rnacentral:tRNA from 1 species